CUUAACCUAGCGGCGGACGGGUGAGUAAUGCUUAGGAAUCUGCCUAUUAGUGGGGGACAACAUCUCGAAAGGGAUGCUAAUACCGCAUACGUCCUACGGGAGAAAGCAGGGGACCUUCGGGCCUUGCGCUAAUAGAUGAGCCUAAGUCGGAUUAGCUAGUUGGUGGGGUAAAGGCCUACCAAGGCGACGAUCUGUAGCGGGUCUGAGAGGAUGAUCCGCCACACUGGGACUGAGACACGGCCCAGACUCCUACGGGAGGCAGCAGUGGGGAAUAUUGGACAAUGGGGGGAACCCUGAUCCAGCCAUGCCGCGUGUGUGAAGAAGGCCUUUUGGUUGUAAAGCACUUUAAGCGAGGAGGAGGCUACCGAGAUUAAUACUCUUGGAUAGUGGACGUUACUCGCAGAAUAAGCACCGGCUAACUCUGUGCCAGCAGCCGCGGUAAUACAGAGGGUGCAAGCGUUAAUCGGAUUUACUGGGCGUAAAGCGCGCGUAGGUGGCCAAUUAAGUCAAAUGUGAAAUCCCCGAGCUUAACUUGGGAAUUGCAUUCGAUACUGGUUGGCUAGAGUAUGGGAGAGGAUGGUAGAAUUCCAGGUGUAGCGGUGAAAUGCGUAGAGAUCUGGAGGAAUACCGAUGGCGAAGGCAGCCAUCUGGCCUAAUACUGACACUGAGGUGCGAAAGCAUGGGGAGCAAACAGGAUUAGAUGCCCUGGUAGUCCAUGCCGUAAACGAUGUCUACUAGCCGUUGGGGCCUUUGAGGCUUUAGUGGCGCAGCUAACGCGAUAAGUAGACCGCCUGGGGAGUA
rnacentral:rRNA from 1 species